rnacentral:rRNA from 1 species
GACGAACGCUGGCGGCGUGCUUAACACAUGCAAGUCGAACGGAAAGGCCCUGCUUUUGUGGGGUGCUCGAGUGGCGAACGGGUGAGUAACACGUGAGUAACCUGCCCUUGACUUUGGUAUAACUUCAGGAAACUGGGUCUAAUACCGGAUAGGAGCUCCUGCUGCAUGGUGGGGGUUGGAAAGUUUCGGCGGUUGGGGAUGGACUCGCGGCUUAUCAGCUUGUUGGUGGGGUAGUGGCUUACCAAGGCUUUGACGGGUAGCCGGCCUGAGAGGGUGACCGGCCACAUUGGGACUGAGAUAGGGCCCAGACUCCUACGGGAGGCAGAAGUGGGGAAUAUUGCACAAUGGGCGGAAGCCUGAUGCAGCAACGCCGCGUGCGGGAUGACGGCCUUCGGGUUGUAAACCGCUUUCGCCUGUGACGAAGCGUGAGUGACGGUAAUGGGUAAAGAAGCACCGGCUAACUACGUG